GAUGAAACCCGCAAAAAAUUUCGACCGAGGCAGGACUCGAACCUGCAGUCUUCGGUUUAGGAGACCGACGCCUUAUCCAUUAGGCCACACGGCCA
ensembl:ncRNA F29C4.12 ncRNA